UUGAAUGAGACUUGUGUUCAGGGUGGGGACACAAACAGGCGUUUGUUUUCUCUUUUUGUAUCUUUAAUUCUCUUAUUGUGUCUUUUUUCUUCUUAAUGUGUCUUCCUUUUCCUUAUCUAACCGUUCCUCAUAAACUCAGAGUGUGGACAUUCAGAGACUCUUUGUGCUGCACGUCGCCGCGUUGUCAUGACGACAGACAGCCCCGGUUCGGGAGCCGUCUAUAGUGUGCUCCGUUACACACACACACACACACCUUCACACACCUUCACACACCUCCACCUGACGGGGACUUGUGUCCACGGCCAGUCAGAGGUCAGACAUGUAACUAAGUCCCGAUGGUUUGAUAAUUAAACUGUAGAGACGUGAAGUGAGAAUAGUGGACAUCAGGGGACAAUGAGACGUGAUGAAGAGACAGUGAGAACAGAAUAGUGGACAUCAGGUGACAAUGAGACGUGAUGAAGAAGUAGAGACAGUGAGAACAUAACAGUGGACAUCAGGGGACAAUGAGACGUGAUGAAGAAACAGUGAGAACAGAAUAGUGGACAUCAGGGGACAAUGAGACGUGAUGAAGAAGUAGAGACAGUGAGAACAUAACAGUGGACAUCAGGGGACAAUGAGACGUGAUGAAGAAGUAGAGACAGUGAGAACAUAAUAGUGGACAUCAGGGGACAAUGAGGCGUGAUGAAGAAGUAGAGACAGUGAGAACAGAAUAGUGGACAUCAGGGGACAAUGAGACGUGAUGAAGAAGUAGAGACAGUGAGAACAGAAUAGUGGACAUCAGGGGACAAUGAGACGUGAUGAAGAAGUAGAGACAGUGAGAACAUAACAGUGGACAUCAGGGGACAAUGAGACGUGAUGAAGAAGUAGAGACAGUGAGAACAUAACAGUGGACAUCAGGGGACAAUGAGGCGUGAUGAAGAAACAGUGAGAACAUAACAGUGGACAUCAGGGGACAAUGAGACGUGAUGAAGAAGUAGAGACAGUGAGAACAUAACAGUGGACAUCAGGGGACAAUGAGACGUGAUGAAGAAACAGUGAGAACAGAAUAGUGGACAUCAGGGGACAAUGAGACGUGAUGAAGAAACAGUGAGAACAGAAUAGUGGACAUCAGGGGACAAUGAGACGUGAUGAAGAAGUAGAGACAGUGAGAACAUAACAGUGGACAUCAGGGGACAAUGAGACGUGAUGAAGAAGUAGAGACAGUGAGAACAUAACAGUGGACAUCAGGGGACAAUGAGACGUGAUGAAGAAGUAGAGACAGUGAGAACAUAACAGUGGACAUCAGGGGACAAUGAGACGUGAUGAAGAAGUAGAGACAGUGAGAACAUAAUAGUGGACAUCAGGGGACAAUGAGACGUGAUGAAGAAGUAGAGACAGUGAGAACAUAACAGUGGACAUCAGGGGACAAUGAGACGUGAUGAAGAAGAAACAGUGAGAACAGAAUAGUGGACAUCAGGGGACAAUGAGGCGUGAUGAAGAACCCUCCUAUGACAUCAUCACGUGUCUCUGCGCUGACUUGUUGCAUCACUUCCUGUCCGUCUGUAACCACAUGUUUAC